rnacentral:rRNA from 1 species
AACGAACGCUGGCGGCAUGCCUAACACAUGCAAGUCGAACGAGAUCUUCGGGUCUAGUGGCGCACGGGUGCGUAACGCGUGGGAAUCUGCCCUUUGGUUUGGAAUAACAGUUGGAAACGACUGCUAAUACCGGAUGAUGACGAAAGUCCAAAGAUUUAUCGCCAGAGGAUGAGCCCGCGUAGGAUUAGCUAGUUGGUGUGGUAAAGGCGCACCAAGGCGACGAUCCUUAGCUGGUCUGAGAGGAUGAUCAGCCACACUGGGACUGAGACACGGCCCAGAUUCCUACGGGAGGCAGCAGUGGGGAAUAUUGGACAAUGGGCGAAAGCCUGAUCCAGCUAUGCCGCGUGAGUGAUGAAGGCCUUAGGGUUGUAAAGCUCUUUUACCCGGGAUGAUAAUGACAGUACCGGGAGAAUAAGCUCCGGCUAACUCCGUGCCAGCAGCCGCCGUAA